rnacentral:tRNA from 3 species
GGUUUUUUAGCUCAGUUGGUUAGAGUGUGCGACUCAUAAUCGCCCGGUCGCUGGUUCAAGUCCAGCAAGGGCCACCA